rnacentral:lncRNA from 1 species
CCUCAGCACUAUGGUCUAGUGGCUUUCCACUCUUGAUGUGCAUUACAAUUACCUGGAGAGCUCUUGAAAACCACCCAGAGCCAGACACUCUCCCUGGCCUAAUUAAACGAGAAGCACGGGGUCCUCAUUGCUCUCUAUCAGGCAUAAUUACCUCUCCAUGUCUUUGUGCGCUGUGGGUCCUAGUCCCUGACACGUGAAGAAUGGAUUCUCCCCUAGAGCUUCUGGAGGGAGCAUGGCCCUGCUGACACCUUGAUUUUGGACUUCCAGCCUCAUGAGACCAUUUAUUCAUUUUCUAACUCAUUCAAAUAAAGAAUUACACCACCAUGCCCAGCUAAUUUUUGUACUUUUAGUAGAGACAUAUUUCUUGAUGAUAUGCUAAACAAGGGGCGUAGAUUAUUCAUGGCUCCCCGUUUUAGACCAUAUAGGGUAACUUCCUGACAUUGCCAUGGCAUUUGUAAACUGUCACUGUGCUGGUGGGAGAGUAACAGUGAGGACAACCAGAGGUCAUUCUUGUUGCCAUCUCAGUAUUCAU